UUGGAGGGCAAGUCUGGUGCCAGCAGCCGCGGUAAUUCCAGCUCCAAUAGCGUAUAUUAAAGUUGUUGCAGUUAAAAAGCUCGUAGUUGAACCUUGGGCCUGGCUGGCCGGUCCGCCUCACCGCGUGCACUGGUUCGGCCGGGCCUUUCCCUCUGGGGAGCCGCAUGCUCUUCACUGAGUGUGUCGGGGAACCAGGACUUUUACUGUGAAAAAAUUAGAGUGUUUAAAGCAGGC
rnacentral:rRNA from 1 species